rnacentral:rRNA from 1 species
UACGUAGGGUGCAAGCGUUGUCCGGAAUUAUUGGGCGUAAAGAGCGUGUGAGCGGCCCCCAUUAGUCCGCUGUGAAAGUCCAGGGCUCAACCCUGGAAUGCCGGUGGAUACUGUGGGGCUAGAGUCCGGAAGGGGCGAGUGGAAUUCCUGGUGUAGCGGUGAAAUGCGCAGAUAUCAGGAGGAACACCGAUGGCGAAGGCAGGUCACUGGGCCGCAACUGACGCUGAGGAGCGAAAGCGUGGGGAGCGAACAGG